rnacentral:rRNA from 1 species
AGUGAAGCGGGAUGAGCUCAAAUUUAAAAUCUGGCUGGUUUACUAGUCCGAAUUGUAGUUUAAAGAAGCGUUUUCGGUGGCAGCCUGGGUAUAAAUCCUUUGGAACAGGGUAUCAUAGAGGGUGAGAAUCCCGUCUUUGACUCAGUGCAUGCUACUAUGUGAUACGUUUUCAAAGAGUCGAGUUGUUUGGGAAUGCAGCUCAAAAUGGGUGGUAAAUUUCAUCUAAAGCUAAAUAUUGGCGAGAGACCGAUAGCGAACAAGUACCGUGAGGGAAAGAUGAAAAGAACUUUGAAAAGAGAGUUAAACAGUGCGUGAAAUUGUUGAAAGGGAAACGCUUGACACCAGUCAUGCGAGCGGAAAAUCAGUCUUUUGCAGUGGGGAGUGUGUGUGGGUUCGGACCGCAAGGCCGGCCUGCGCUUCAUCUCUGCUGUAAGUGAUGCACUUUUUCGUUUGCAGGCCAACAUCAGUUUCUUCUGCUGGACAAAACUCUUGAGAAGGUAGCAGCUUAGGCUGUGUUAUAGCUCUUGAGCGAUACAGUGGAGGAGACUGAGGUUUUCGCAGCGCGUGCUUUCGGGCAAGGCUGAUUGGGUGCUAUGGGAUCGUUCGGUGUACAAUGCAUGCAUUUUGCGCCGUGUCUUUUCUAUACUCGCUCAACUCGGCUCUCCGCGCU